UAAGUCCUAUGGGGCUUAACCCAUAUAUCCCAGAUGCAACCUGGACGCUUUUAUUAAGCUAAAGCCUUC
rnacentral:tRNA from 1 species